UUAAAUAAAGGUGUUCUCAACUAGCCUACCUGGUUAAAUAAAGGUGUUCUCAACUAGCCUACCUGGUUAAAUAAAGGUGUUCUCAACUAGCCUACCUGGUUAAAUAAAGGUGUUCUCAACUGGCCUUCCUGGUUAAAUAAAGGUGUUCUCAACUAGCCUACCUGGUUAAAUAAAGGUGUUCUCAACUAGCCUACCUGGUUAAAUAAAGGUGUUCUCAACUAGCCUACCUGGUUAAAUAAAGGUGUUCUCAACUAGCCUACCUGGUUAAAUAAAGGUGUUCUCAACUAGCCUACCUGGUUAAAUAAAGGUGUUCUCAACUAGCCUACCUGGUUAAAUAAAGGUGUUCUCAACUAGCCUACCUGGUUAAAUAAAGGUGUUCUCAACUGGCCUUCCUGGUUAAAUAAAGGUGUUCUCAACUAGCCUACCUGG